rnacentral:rRNA from 1 species
AGAGUUUGAUCCUGGCUCAGAACGAACGCUGGUGGCGUGUCUUAUACAUGCAAGUCGAGCGGUGCAGCAAUGCAUAGCGGCGAACGGGUGAGUAACACGUAAGCAAUCUGCCCCCUACUUGGGAAUAGCCGUGCCAACGCGCGGAUAAUACCGAAUAUCGUGGCGUCCCGCAUGGGAUGUUGACGAAAGAUUUAUCGGUAGGGGAUGAGCUUGCGUCCGAUUAGCUAGUUGGCGGGGCAACGGCCCACCAAGGCGACGAUCGGUAGCCGGCCUGAGAGGGCGAUCGGCCACAUUGGGACUGAGAUACGGCCCAGACUCCUACGGGAGGCAGCAGUAGGGAAUAUUGCACAAUGGGGGGAACCCUGAUGCAGCAACGCCACGUGUGGGAAGAAGCAUUUCGGUGUGUAAACCACUGUCGUGAGGGAAUAAUGCUCGGUCUCGGCCGAGUUGAAUGUACCUCGAAAGGAAGCACCGGCAAACUUCGUGCCAGCAGCCGCGGUAAUACGAGGGGUGCAAGCGUUGUUCGGAAUCACUAGGCGUAAAGGGAGCGUAGGCGGAGACGCAAGCAGUCUGUACAAUACCGGGGCCCAACCCCGGACCUGCAGACUGGACUGUGUCUCUUGGAUAGUUCAGGGGCAGGCGGAAUUCCUGGUGUAGCGGUGGAAUGCGUAGAGAUCAGGAAGAACACCGAUGGCGAAGGCAGCCUGCUGGGGACUCAUCGACGCUGAGGCUCGAAAGUGCGGGUAGCAAACAGGAUUAGAUACCCUGGUAGUCCACACUGUAAACGAUGAAUGCUAGGUGUAGGAGGUAUCGACCCCCUCUGUGCCGCAAUUAACACAAUA